AGUGAACGCUGGCGAUAGGCCUAACACAUGCAAGUCGAACGGCAGCACAGUAAGAGCUUGCUCUUACGGGUGGCGAGUGGCGGACGGGUGAGGAAUACAUCGGAAUCUACUUUUUCGUGGGGGAUAACGUAGGGAAACUUACGCUAAUACCGCAUACGACCUACGGGUGAAAGCAGGGGAUCUUCGGACCUUGCGCGAUUGAAUGAGCCGAUGUCGGAUUAGCUAGUUGGCGGGGUAAAGGCCCACCAAGGCGACGAUCCGUAGCUGGUCUGAGAGGAUGAUCAGCCACACUGGAACUGAGACACGGUCCAGACUCCUACGGGAGGCAGCAGUGGGGAAUAUUGGACAAUGGGCGCAAGCCUGAUCCAGCCAUACCGCGUGGGUGAAGAAGGCCUUCGGGUUGUAAAGCCCUUUUGUUGGGAAAGAAAAGCAGCAGGUUAAUACCCCGCUGUUCUGACGGUACCCAAAGAAUAAGCACCGGCUAACUUCGUA
rnacentral:rRNA from 1 species